UACGUAGGGGGCAAGCGUUGUCCGGAUUUAUUGGGCGUAAAGAGCGUGUAGGCGGCUAGGUAGGUCCGUUGUGAAAACUCGAGCUCAACCUCGAGACGCCGGUGGAAACCAUCUAGCUAGAGUCCGGAAGAGGAGAGUGGAAUUCCUGGUGUAGCGGUGAAAUGCGCAGAUAUCAGGAAGAACACCCGUGGCGAAGGCGGCUCUCUGGGACGUGACUGACGCUGAGACGCGAAAGCGUGGGAGCGAACAGG
rnacentral:rRNA from 1 species